rnacentral:rRNA from 1 species
AGAGUUUGAUCCUGGCUCAGAUUGAACGCUGGCGGCGUGCUUUACACAUGCAAGUCGAACGGCAGCAUAACUUUCGGGUUGAUGGCGAGUGGCGAACGGGUGAGUAAUACAUCGGAACAUGCCAUGUAGUUGGGGAUAACUCAUCGAAAGAUGAGCUAAUACCGGAUAUACUCUUCGGAGGAAAGCUGGGGACUAGAAAUGGCCUGGCGCUAUAUGAGUGGCCGAUGGACGAUUAGCUAGUUGGUGGGGUAAGAGCUUACCAAGGCGAUGAUCGAUAGCUGUUCUGAGAGGAAGAUCAGCCACACUGGGACUGAGACACGGCCCAGACUCCUACGGGAGGCAGCAGUGGGGAAUUUUGGACAAUGGGGGGAACCCUGAUCCAGCAACGCCGCGUGAAUGAAGAAGGCCUUAGGGUUGUAAAGUUCUUUUAUCUGGGGGCAAAGCUUAUGUGUGAAUAGCAUAUAAGGAUGAGAGUACCAGAGGAAUAAGCACCGGCUAACUACGUGCCAGCAGCCGCGGUAAUACGUAGGGUGCGAGCGUUAAUCGGAAUAAUUGGGCGUAAAGGGUGCGUAGGCGGAUAUAUAAGUUAGAUGUGAAAAGCCUGGGCUUAACCUAGGUCGUGCAUUUAAGACUGUAAAUCUAGAGUUUGUGAGAGGGGUGUAGAAUUCCAAGUGUAGCAGUGAAAUGCGUAGAGAUUUGGAGGAAUACCGAUGGCGAAGGCAGCGCCCUGGCAUAGAACUGACGCUGAGGCACGAAAGCGUGGGUAGCAAACAGGAUUAGAUACCCUGGUAGUCCACGCCCUAAACGAUGUUUACUUGCUGUUGGGGGUAACCUAAGUAGCGAAGCUAACGCGAGAAGUAAACCGCCUGGGGAGUACGGUCGCAAGAUUAAAACUCAAAGGAAUUGACGGGGACCCGCACAAGCGGUGGAUGAUGUGGAUUAAUUCGAUGCACGCCGAAGAACCUUACCUGCUUUUGAC